rnacentral:lncRNA from 1 species
UUUGCUUCUUCAUCGAGAAGUAAUUCUAGUGUAUGAUCGUUCUCUUGUAGUAUAGCUGUCUCUAUAGCAUACCUUGCAUCACGAGAGCAAGUGUUUACAGGUAUACCUUCAUCCAAUAACAAUUGUAUAUUUUCCAGAGAAUCUAUAUAAGUAGCACUCGCAGCUCUUUCCAAUAACCAAUGUUAAGAACUAAUUAGCAUUUUCAAUUUCUUAGCAUGCUUAAUGAGUAACAAGAAGAUCUCUGUGGGUCCGUUGGCAGCUUGUCCCACGUGAUUAAAUUUUUGUAUACUUGCUCCUGCAUUUAAUAGGAUCUCCACCGCUUCUCGAUCCCAUCUUGCUAUAGCAUCUCCUAAUACAGUGCUACCCAUUCGGUUGGAACUAUCAGCAGAGAUAUCUUCUUUGAGUAAUAGUGAUAGGAAUCUUUUAUCUUUAAGCCUGUCGCAGUGAAGGUAAUUAUAUACUAUGUAGUUGUCAAGAGUUGCUCCUAAUUUAAAUAAUUUUUCUAAAAUGUCUAGACGCUUUGCUAUUAGUGUAGAAUGAAUAGCAGGGAUGGCAGUCUUCUAAUGUAGUAUAAUCUACUUUGUAUUCUAACAAUAAAUUUAUCAUUUCCUCGUAUCCCUUGUUUAUAGCGUGGGUAAGAGCACUAGUUAAACAUAAUGUGGAUUUGUGCGGAUAUACCUCCAAACAAAGCCUGACAGGUUCUAGAUCCGAAGAUCCCACGAGUUCUUUGAUUAUUUCCCUCAUCUCUGAAGCUCUUAUCAUCGGAGCCAAUAAUCGAAUUAAAAUUUUUGCUUUUCUAUUUUCUUGACGAAUUAUUUUAGUCAUCAUGAUAGUUAAUUUCCGUCGAUCUCGAGAGAAGAUGAAUGGAAUCCACGUAUGUGCCAAACAUUCCCAAACUGCUGCCAUCUGUGGGAUAGAAAGAGUCUAGGUGUCAGACUUAUUACUAACUUAUGAGGUGUUUAUCAAUUCUUAUUUAUAUAAACGUAUAUCUAUUAUCGCCGAUUAGUCUAGACGUUCUUGUAGUCUCUCUUCGUGUUCUUUUCAUAUUAUCCUUUUAUUAAUAAUUUGGUGUAUAGCUUGCAUGAUCUGAGAGCCGUAUAUCGGAAAUUGAUAAGGAUAAAUUUCUGCUUCACGGUUUUGGAAUGCACAUGAUUUAGCAAUAUAUAAAAAGGAGUUCGUAGGUUGCUCUAUCAAUUGUUUAAAAGUGACUCCUGUGAUAAAAUUUUGCCUUGAGAUUUGUUGCCAUUCGAGACAUGCUUUUUCGUAUUUAUCAUAUAAUUUCGAGUAGCAUUCUUUUAACGUUAGUUCAUCUUCUAUAUUAAUGUUUUGAUUCUCUACCUUUCCUCUUGCUAAUAAUGAAAUAAAAAUCUUCGGUUUGUUUCAUGGCAAAAGUUCGGUUAAUAUAAAGUAAACGUUUCUCCCGAUAGGGUAAAGCGAAGCCCCUCGCUGUAGCAAUACUUCGAUUUUCCGACAGCAGUCUAUCUUAAAUGCUCAGGUUAAAGCAGUUUCACCGAAAGAUGAUACUUCGUCUAUAUCACAUUCUCCUGUAUCUAGGAUCAUUUCGACUGCUUGGAUCGUACCGAAUCUUACUGCUAUGUGCAAGGCAUUUUCUCCCUUGCUUGACGUGGUUUUUAAAUUGGCUUUAUGCUCGAUUAAUAAUUUUAGUACUUCAUUAUUAUGAUGUAUGAUAGCGGCUACUACAGGACAUCUUUUAUUUCGCGACAAUGAAUUUACAUUAAAUCCCCUUUUUAGUAGUAAUUCAACGUUCUUUGCAGCGUGAGGAUGUUGAGCGGUAACCGCUUUUUCGAGUAGAUAUUCAGUUAUGCAAGAUUCACGCUGAGUCUUUUGUGCAUGAUUUAAUAAUAAUUCUAAUAUUUCGGGCUUGGUUCUAGUGGCUCUUUCUAAGGGUGUUUGAUCGAAAUGAUUUAUUAUAUUUGAUGCGGCGUUAGCUUCCAAUAGUAAUUGAAUAAUCGGUAUAUCGCCCCAAUCAACAGCGUGCAUUAAUGCCGUUGACCCAAAGGUAUUUUUUGCAUUAACGAUUAUGCCGGCUUUUAAUAAUAGACGUAAAUAAUCUAAACUUUCACAUUCCAUGGCCCUUUCUAGAAGCUCAUGUCCUUCGUACAUCAAUAGAUAUUUACACGCCCCCAAAUUUUAUUAAUUGAGUAAGAAUAUCGAUACGUCUGUACAAAAUGGCUACUCUGGUCAUUGACCCUUGUUCCUUUUCGCAACGUAUCGACCAAUCUAUCGGAAGUUGUAAUAUUCUUUUAAUAAUUUCUUCGUGAUGAUCUUGAAUGGCUAAUGUUAAAACCAUGUCUAGGCUGGUUUCUUGGAGUCUAGGAUAUGAUUUUAAACAGGCUUUUAUGAUGAAUGGUUUAUCAUUCAAUAGCGCUUGCCGCAUAAUACUGGUCACUUCCACCGGUUGCAGAACUAGGGACCAUUUGUAAAUCAGAUCUCGUGCUUCGCGUUCGCAUCCAUGUUCUAGUUUUAUCUUAAGGUCUUGUACUUUUUCGCAUCAAUUAGGUGUUACUCUUAACAGUACUUUGUUGAUCCAUCUCCAAAAAUAUACAGCCAUCAUCGAAACUGCGAGACAAUGAGGAAUAACGAAUCACUAUUUUGUUCCUGACUCAAUCGGAUUAAUACUUCUCUCAAGAUUUUAUGAUUAAUUAUAACUGAUACUGAGGUAGUUUAUGCAAGAGGAAAAGAUUUUCUUUUCCGAUGUAGUGAGUUUUCUUUGUUUUUAAAUUGCAAAUGGAAAUUAAAUUUCGUAAGGCCUCUAAUCUUUCCGUGUGUUGUUGAUCUCCUUUCUCAUUGUUUUCAAUUUUAUAUUAAGGUUUUCUUUAUGAUUCUGAUUCAAUUGCUUUACUAUUUUCAAUUUUUCCCGCUCGCCAGGUAGUCUACAACCCAUGCGUGAGUUUAAUUUCGUUAUAACGAGUAUAUUCUUUAUCCGAUAAAAUUUUCAAUUAAACUUAUUAAUUCUUAAAUUUGUUUAUUAUUGGUUUGGUCUCUAUGUAUGCUCGUAGUACUACUUGAAGUCCCUUCUUUGGAUGGAGAGUGGUUUGUCUCUGUUUUCCAUCCUUCUAAUUCCACUUCUCUUGACGUCUAGAAAAUUUCUUUUUCUCGACAUGGCGUGGGUGUAUUUUGUUUUCUAUGAUCAGUCGGUUAUCAUGCUUCGAACGGUUCAGUUUUUUCAAUAUUUUGAGUCUGUUCAUCACUGUCGAUUUUAUAAUACAAUUGUGCGAUAUUUGGUCUUACUGAUUUAUAAAAUAAUGUUUACGCGUGUUGUGCUAGCGUCCAAUGAUUCGAUCUAAGUGAAAUAAUUGAAUUUAGUGAAAAAUAUAGUGAUUUGCUUGCAAUCGACGUGUGAAACAAAGGCCAUGACUUCACGUGAAUCCCAGUGUCCUUACAAUUUUUGCAUCGAAUCCAGAACGAAGGAAGGCUUUCCGACUUACGAGGAGGAAUUAGUAAGUUUCUUAAAUUUUUAAUUAUAUAAAUAGAGAAAUUUUUUUUUUUUAACUCUUGGUUUUCCUUAUACGGCAAAUUUCCCUCUUCCUUUUCUUAGAUUUCGCCCAGGAUUCCUUGUAUAGCAAGUAAGCAACCCACUCGGUGUUAUCGGCCUUAUCCAGGGAUUGAUAUGCUUUGUGUGGUAUAUCACCGAACUCAAUCGGAGGCAAUACAGUGAGAGUUUAUCCCACUCACUCAGAAAAUAAGUAUUCUUAUCCUAUAUGCGUACCGUCGGACGGUUGUUCCCCCUUUGGCUUGGUACCAAAUCUUUGGGUUCCAUGCCAUAUACCCUGUAUCGACUGCCCAAAUAAAAGACACGGAAAUUGCGAUAUUCGUGGUUUAGUUAUGGAUCAGACCUUUGAGAAAAUCAGAUGGGAGAAUUUUGGCCGCUGGAUUCCACGUUUUGAGCUUGUAGAGCAGCCAUACUUCUUUCGAGAUAAUCUCGUACAAUAGCGCCGUAGACAAUUGGCCUCGGGUUCUUUCGUUGCUGCCAGAUGGGAUAGAUCUCGCCUGCAUGAUGCUGAAAAAUGUUGUUCUCUGUCUGUGCGCUUUAUGGUUUUAAUAUAUAUUAGUGCAAUUGCGGCACGCGAUAUAUUGUAAUUCAAUUUCACUAUACUCCAAUAUAAUUAUCAUUAAAUAAUAUUGGAACUUUUCUUCAUA